rnacentral:lncRNA from 10 species
CUCUUCUGUUCCUGCAAACCCCAGAGAACAUGCUGUAUGAGUGUGAUGGAAAUAAUUUCACUUUCUCUGACUUAUGAUUAGUGAAGAGGAUUUCAGGCUGGCAUCAAGUUACAGAGAUGGGGCCUGGAUGUGUUGCUUAGGCUGUGUGAAACACCUGGUCUUAAGCGAUCCUCUCACCCUGGCCUCCCAAAGCAUUGGGAUUACAGGGAGAAAAGAAUGGGAACUGUGAGGAAAAGAAUGACAUGAACAAUGGGAAGACCAAGGUCCCAGCACAAGUAGUAGAUGCUGAGGAAAGAAGAAGUAUGUUGUGGAGUAAGUGAGUGGGCCUGAGUUGAGAAGAUCCUGGCCUUGGAUUUUAAAACUGUCAGGUGACUAUGGUUGUGCUGGUCUCUGCUUUUCAUUAUGGAUAUAUGUGAGCUUUAUUUUCUAUUAAGGUACACGAAUCACCUGGAGAGGCUGGUGAAAAGUAGCUCUGAGUCACUAGAUCUGGCCUCUACCCCACCGUGUUCCCAGCGGGUGCAGAUGCUGCUGGUGCCAGGACCACACUGAAUUGCAUAAAUUCGCUAGAAUCAGAAGUCAGUUGUCCUGAUCUCAGAACAAUUUGGUGUGUACAAAGUCCAAGGUUUGAAAACUCAUCAAGAAGUCAGCAUCCUGCAAGAAUCAGCCACCCAUGCCACACUUUCUAUAGUAACUUCUGUUCUGCAUCAGACUACAUCACUCUGGCUUUCUGGGAUCACUUUUAUAAUACAAAGAAUGACUGCAAUAUAAGCUUUGAAAGACUGACUCACUAAGGAAACAAGACAGGUUUGGAAAAAUGGAUCCCUUGCCAUUGACGCACUCUGGAGAACUCUUUAAAAAAUGGUAAUCUGAGAAAUUUAAUUGCCACGUAACUGUUCACAUAAAACUGAUACUAUCAGUAAGUGGACCAAAUUAAAUAUUCUGUGAAAACGUUGCAUUUCACAACCAGGUGUUUUGAUUUUUUGAAAUGAAAGAAAAAAAAAGGAAGUCAGCUUUUAGCUAUGUGGUGCAGUUGAUCUUCUCUGGAAAGUUAUUCUGCAGAUCUACCAAAUGAAUUAAAGAUGAGAAGACAAAUGUAGGAGAUAAAAAGGCAAAGAAGAGAUGUUUAUCUGCUGUGUACCACUUUUGUGAUGGUGGAUCCCUUCAUCUUUCUGUGCCUCAUUUUUUUCUUAUUUCUACAUAGAGGGCACUAUUCCAGGCCAGUGCUCUGGGAGGAAUUACCCAGAAUCCCUGUAGAAGCCACUACUGAUGUCAGCUACAAGAGGAAGGGAACCCAAGUGGACUUCAGCCAGAACAAAGCUCUGUCACAUGUUGGAAUUUUACUGAACUUGAACAAAUUAUUCUUCAGAAAAAGUAUUUUAAAGUCAAAAGACUCCUAGAUGAUUUCUAGGUCUUUUGCAGCAUUAACUUCCUUUGAAUCAAUGCCUUCAAUGAUUAUUUAAAAGAAAAGAAAGAAAAAAUCAGAAAGUAAAGAAAUGGAUUUAGCUAGUAACCUUUAAAGAAAGCCCUCUUUCAUUCAUUUUUCUUCAAAGAUUUAUGUGAUUUUUUUCUUAUCUUGAUGUAUAAUAAUAAGAAUUAGCUGCAAAAAGCUACAAGAAAGGUUGCAUAAGUGCAUACAUUCUUUUCGAGUUCUGCUUCCUGUGGUAGUUCUUCACUUUUAAUGAUGAGUUGCUGAAGCAGGCACUCAUUCUUUUAUUGCAUCAUUUAUUCUUGUUAUCUGGGGAAGUAACAAUGACAAGCUUUCCUAAGUAACAGCCCAACUCUUAUUUGUGGCCCCUUUUCCUAUGUCAAUAUUAGGAUCAUUCUAUCAACGAAGAGGUCCUAUUACCUAGGAAACCAUGAAAGGUAAGACCUAUGAUCACAGGUGCUUACAUGCAUGCAAAUGUAAAAGGAAUACUUAAACCCUCACCUAACUUCUUUGGAAGUUUCAGUACACAGUUUUUGUUGAUAGGCAAUUAAGGUGCGUGUGUGAGUGUAGUAUGUGUUUUUGUAAGAAAAAAAGUAGAGGAAAUGGGAGAUAAUUUAGUGUGCUGGAAAGUUAUAGAAUUUGAUAUCUUGUUUUGCAUAGAUGAUGCAUUGUAGGAGUGACAUUAUUGUGAAACUUUGUUCAGUCGGUUUUCCUUCAAGCGAUUUUGGUGCAGUUUUUCCAAUCCAGUGUUAAGGGCAUGACGAUGUAUUUUUCACAAGCUUGUCUAAGAGGAAACUCUGACAGAUUAUGAUGAGGAAAACUAAAUCCACUCAUGUCAUGUAAACACAUAGAAGACUUCUCAGUGGGGUCUCUGCCUUGUACCUCAGAUGCCAAGGGGGAGUUUGAGAUUUGUCAAGUUGUUGACAACUGCCUUAGUCCAUUUUGUGCUGCCAUAACAGAAUGACACGGAUGUGGUAAUUUAUAAUGAACAGAAAUUUACUUCUUGAGGCUGGGAAAUCCAAGGUUGAGGUGCCAGCAUCUGGCAAGGGCUUUCUUAUUGUGUCAUCAUAUGGUGGAAGGCAGAAUGUCAAGAGAGAAGGAGGAAACCAAUUUUACCCUUUUAUAAAGGCACCCAUUCCACAUGUAAGGGUGAAGCCCUCAUGGCCUGCCACCUUUUAAAGACUCCACCUCUUGAUACUGUCACAAUAGCAACUGCAUUUCAGCAUGAGUUCUGGAAGGGACAGUUUCCAAACCAGAGGAGCAAUUGCCUAUCAGAGGUUGCAAGAAAGAGGUAUUUUACUAUUAUUUGAGCUACCAUUUUUAGCUUUAUCCAUACUUUUAGAAAUAGGUGUUUUAUUGAACUCCAAUUAUCCAGUUUGAGAAUGUCAUAAUUUUCUAUUAGGAGUCUGGCUGAUCUAGUCAUUAAAAAAGACACAUAAUAAAUGUAUAAGCAUGUUUUUAAAUGGACAGUUUAUAAGUUAGUUAAUAAUAUUAGUGUUAAUUACUGUUACCACUAAAUAAAUAAACCACUACAUUUUAUGUUCUUUCAACAAUCUGAAAAAAAUAUUUUGUAAAAAAUUACUGUAAUGCAAAAUUUGGCUUAGUUAGCAACAGAGAGGGUAAAUAUCUGCUUUAAAGAUCACAAUGUCUGAUGGCUAUGAAACAGAUGAGAAGUUUUGAGAAGAUGACAUCAAUAUGGUGUUGAUUGGUUUCAUGUGGCUUUGAGCUUUUCUGCCACUGGGAAGAUCACUACUGUACAUAGUUUACAUAUGAUUCAUGUGUGAUGCCAGAUUGCAGCUUCCUUCUUGCUGUAUCUUAAGUGUACUUGGUAUUCUGAUUCAAGAGUGAGAUCUUGAAGCUUUGGCAAAUAGAAUUGCCUAAUUUUCAUUUGUCCACUAAGCAAUGCAUGCAGUUAAAAAAAUGAAAACAAUACCAAACCUCCUUCUUUUGCAGUGAAGGAGCCCAAAACAAGUUACUCUCUUUCCGUCUCUCUCUUUAACUUAGAAUAUUGGUUAUUUUGUAUUCUCACACAUGUAAAAUUCCUUUCCUUUAAUGCAUAUGUUCUCAAUAAAAAAGAAUUUUCCACUGAAUUUCCAGGAAGACUCAACAUAAUUUAAAGAUGGCACCUUACAAAAAGAACUCUCAAUAGACAAGAAGAGGAGGCAGUAAUAAACAAUUAUUUUCAAGACAGAGUUACCUAAAAUCUUUCCUUGGUUUCUUACCGGCUACAGGACACUUUUCAAACUCUUUGGUUUCACUUUGACAAACUUGCUUCUUGCAAUUCUCCUAAGGUUGUGUGUAUACAACCACGUGGGAUGUGGUGAAUUUAGUCGGCCACAAUGUAAUAGUCUCUUCUCUAUACAUAAAAUUAGAUUACUAAAAUCCCUAUGUAAGAAACUUACAAUCCCGCCAGGGAAAAUUAGGAUUGGGGAAAUGAGAUAAUUAGUUAAUCUCUCAAAAAUCUGAUGAACAUAGUUUAUGUUUUCUAAAAUAGAGCCAUGAAAACAGCCCACCAAAUAAUGAGAAUGUCAAUAUCUCACACGUUCCUUCAUUUGGUAAUUAAUAGCAUGGAAUGGAUAUAUAUUAAUUUAUCAUUCUUUGAUCUCCAGUGACUUUUCAGUAUCUCUGUUCUCCUUUUUCCAUAUAUUAAAUACAGAACUUAUACAUUUGUUUUGUUUGAUGGUGUUAAUCUACAGUGCAGAAGAGUCCCUGUGUUUGUCCACUGUCUAAUUUUCAAAGCCUCUCUGAUUUUAUGAUUUUAAUUUACCUUUUAUCAGUGUGGUUUCACCGCAUUUCUGCAGACAUUCAUGUGGAUGCCUGAGCUGAAAAACUAACCUCACGUAGUCUUUAUUUCUCAACUUGCAUUCCCCAGUGCAGGGCCCAGUGGUGCCAAUUCUGAACAUAGUAAAUUUACAAGAAAGCCCUUCCUCACCUAUAACUUCAGGGAUGUUUUCACCCAUAAACCAAAACACUCAAUUGCAAGGUUUGGGGAUAAUCUUCUCCCAGCUCUCUUUCUCUCUCCUACAGUUUCAUUGCAUUGCCUCAUCUCUCUUUUAUCUUUUCCCUUAUGAGUUAUUUCAGCUUCCUUUUCUUAACUUCUAGUUUCCUAUUUCUCUAAUAAUCUAAGUCAGGGAGAAGUGUAAAUUCAUGUGCAUGGAAACUAAAAUUUCCCCGAGGAUAUAAUGUACAGAGUAAAUCCAUCUUCACUAGAAUUUUAGAACUUGAGAUCGGGCAUGUGUGAUUAUUCUACACAUUUUUAAUGGGUCUCUGUGCUUUCACAUGUGAUUUUGCCUCUUCCAAAAACAGUCUUUGUGUUCUUCACCAUCUGGGAAAUGUGUUUUCAUCCAUGUAAACCCAAAUCAAAUGCCAUUUCCUUUAUGGAAAAUUAUCCAGCUUCAUCAGGCAGAAUAAUUAGCUCCUCUGUAGGCAAAUAGCUCCUUGGUCUAUUUUUGCCAAAGCAAGAACAUCUUAUUUUCCAUACCUACUAUGUGCUUGGCAUUGUAUCAGUACACAUUUCUAUUAGUGCAUUCUAGCACUACAUAUUUUCAGGCCUAUCUUAUGUGAUUGGCUUUGAGCAUUUCCAGAGCAAGUAUAUUUUUGCUUCUUAUACCUACCUCAGGAUUUAACAUAGUGGUGUCUGGCAUAACUAGACAUGGUAAGAAUAAAUGUUUGUUGAAUGAAUGAUGUGUGAAUAUUUGAAUGAGCAUAUUAUAUGAGUUGGUAAGACUAUUCAGUUGCUGGAUGUCAAAACUAAUUAACUGAAUGUAUUUUUAUCUUUGGCUUUUUAUUAGCUUGGUUGCAAAUUCUGUGACAACAGAAUCUGUGUCUUUCAUUCUCAUCUUUACACCCCCAGUUCCAGGUACCUGGUGCCCAACAGGCAUUACUGGAUAUCUGUAGAACUUAUGAUUAAAGAAUAAAAGGAUAACAGUGUGGGAUGAAAAUAAUUCAAUCUUUGACCUUUUUUUUUGAGUAGAGACAAGCACAUUAAAUUUGAUUUUUGUUUAGCCCUAAGCAGCAUCGUAGUUCUGUAUCACUUUUAUAAGCAGCUAGACAUGGAAAAGGUAAAAGUAAGGACAGAGGAUGGAGGCAUAACCUAUUCAGAGUCAAUCAUAUGACUUUUGUCUGAAAAAUUCGUACAUAAAAAAAUGAAUGGUUUGAAACAAAAGCGAACUAUUGGAUGGAAGUAAUUUGCACAUUUAAAACCUGUCUCGCAACCAAGUGCAUCAGUUGAUUCUCUGGCAAACUAUUGCUUUGCCUUUUCUUAUCCAAUAUUUGUUUGUUUUUGAAGGAAAAAAGGUAUGUGACUGAGAGGUAAAAUAUAUGUAUUUUUUCACCAUGAAUACUUGUCUUUAUGCAUUUUGUUAAAAUUGUAGUAAUUGAUAAUAUGUAAGCCUGUUUCGUAAUGGUGAUUUUUUUGGUAUGAUAUCUACAGAUACAAAUAGUGCAUGUGUUAAGGAAACUCAUGCACAAACAAAACAGCACAUGCUGUACUCACAGCCAGUUACACAGAAUGCUCAUGCAUGCAUCUGUUGCUUAUUAAUUUUCUUCCUGCUGUUUGUAUCAUUCUUUUGAAGAAUCUCCAGCAAGCUUUGUGCUUUGCCCAAUUGUUUAUAAUGUCUAUAAAUCAGGGGCUUGGACCAAAUGAAAUGUCUUAGUAGUGUUUGCAAAAUAUUUGGAUAUUCUGAUUGCGUUUUAUUUUCCCAGCUUUAGAAAACAUAUAGAUUAGCCUCUGUUGGGAACUUAUAUUCUCGUUACUCCUUGUCUCUUUUCUUUUUUCAGGAAUUGGUCACUCUUUCAGCCAACUCGUAGGUUCAAACAAUGUUUACAUGUAGUGCUCAGUUUGUUUUAACUUCCUGCUGUAGACAUUGACAGUUUUUUCUUCCUAAGAGUCUUAUGAAUAGGCAACAAAACAAAAACAAAAACAGGCAAAGUCCCAAUCUAUUAACUACGUACUUACAAAUCAGGUGAAAGUGCUUGGUGAACAGUCUAUGUUUUAGCAACUGUUUUUUAACGUUUGGUUGUGACAUUUUUUAACAACAGCCAUUGUUCAAUUGUUAAACUAUGUUUGGAUUUGAGGUCUGAAUGAGCUGAAUUCAAAAUAUGGGACUUUUUAUUAGAAACCCUGGUAAAGUGGACACUGGGGAAAAAGCCCAAGAUUUCAUGUGUUUGAUUUAUUGACUAUGUGCGUCAACAGCCUGCUUUUAAUUCUCAGAGUAAAAUAAAAAUACUCAGAAUCUAAGUGCUGUGUUUUGGUGCAUUAUGAGUCUGUAUUUUUUGUCACAAACAUCGUAUCCAGUCCUCUCCCUUUAUUUCACAGUCAUGGUUUUAUAGAGGGAUUUGGUAGACAAAAAUUUAGGGCUAAGAGUGGGAUAGAAUAAGUUACAUGUGACAUUUAGAAGAUGCAGCGAGCAACACAAACCUUGGGGGAAAAUAUCUGUAUUUUUUUCAGAAUUUAGAGGUAGAUGGACUAAUCAUCCCAAUUUAAUACCUAGGCAGGUCUACACGAUGUGACUGCAAGUUCAAUGAUAAUCUAUAUCAAUUUUGAUUGACAUCUGUUUUAUUCAUGUGACUUAGGUUUUAAUGUAGAUACAUACCCAAAGAGUAUGUGCUUCAGGUGAAUAAGCUAUUCCAAUGAUUAAGCCACUCAGUUAAACAAGGACACUAAAUAUAUUCUAUACAACAAAAAUAUACUGAAUAAUACCAUUUGCAUUUGCAUAAAGAGUUUACAAAAUACUUUCACCUCCUUGACCCACUUUAGCAGAAGAAUAAAAAUUAAUAGAUCCAUUCUGUAGAUUAGGACUCUCAGGCUCAAUACAAUACAUUGAUUCAUAACCAACAUUAAAAAAAUUUAACAAGACCAGUUGCAAGGUGUGUAUGAAAGUUCCUUUUAUGUGUGUGUGUGUGUAUAAAUAUAUGAAGAUAUACUUAUUGCAGAAUAUGCAUAAACUUUAGUUAUCUAGCCACAUGUUAAGAAGCAGCUUUUAAAACUUGGAUUUCUGUGUUCUACCAGCAAAAUGGAAUUUGAAAAUAAUUAUUACAAGCCACCAAAGAUCCUGAUGUGCCUUCAGAAUCCUGAAAGCAGGACGCUGCUUUCUCAAGAAGACGUUCAGUGUAUUAUGCAUGAAACAUUUUCUUAUGACGAGUUAAUGGGUGCAGCACACCAACA